ensembl:lncRNA
CUUUGUACUUGACGUUGCUCUGCCUACAGCACUCCACCCCAGGUUUGUCUGAGGUUGGCUCCUUUACAUUCCCUUGAGGAUUCAACAAGGCUCUCCAAGCAGGCUUCUUAAGUGAGAAUUUACUCAGCAUUUUAAUCCAUUAAUUUGCUGCUGCUGAGCCCGUUCUGCCUCGGAGAUAACCACCCCAGAUGCCAAGGCCCUGAAAGAUUGCUGUCUGAAAAGUUUAUUGGAUAAUGAAAUUAAAAAAUCGUCUCGAAUACCAGAUGUGCAAGGCAUUAUGAGAACAACUAGGCACAAAGUUUACAAAGAACUUUUCUGUUGGUGCUCUGAUCUGAUCAACAUAACAAAAAUGGCUUCAACCCUUGACCUGUUAAGAUGAUCCAUGGAGCCAGAAAGUACAGCCAGAUGCUUUCCUAAAAGCCUCCCAGGAAAGAAAAUCCAUUGAGGGUUUCAUUUUCUACAUGGAAGCAGACCUGUGCUUUUAUAAUAUAGAAUUUGGAC